GAUGAAGAACGUAGCGAAAUGCGAUAAGUAGUGUGAAUUGCAGAAUUCAGUGAAUCAUCGAAUCUUUGAACGCACAUUGCGCCCUUUGGUAUUCCAACGGGCAUGCCUGUUCGAGCGUCAUUUGUACCCUCAAGCUUUGCUUGGUGUUGGGCGUCUUGUCUCUAGCUUUGCUGGAGACUCGCCUUAAAGUAAUUGGCAGCCGGCCUACUGGUUUCGGAGCGCAGCACAAGUCGCACUCUCUAUCAGCAAAGGUCUAGCAUCCAUUAAGCCUUUUUUUCAACUUUUGACCUCGGAUCAGGUAGGGAUACCCGCUGAACUUAAGCAUAUCAAUAAGCGGAGGA
rnacentral:misc_RNA from 1 species